GUUUCUCUGUAAACUGCUUCUCUUUGCGGAACAAAAACAAAAACCCUGUAGCAUGCUGGAGAGAAAGGGCUAUGGUCCUUCCUGGAAAAGUUCUGGGAGGGAGACGGGGAUCCAGCCACGUCCUGCAACACCGCAGUGUGGGGCGUGGACCGUCACGAGGCCCAGGUCUGGUGGGAAAACAUUAGUGGACUCAGUGUCGGAACCCAAGGGCGGGACUUCUUAGAACUGAGAAUCUUGAGACUGGUGAGGUCUCCAAAGGGCCCUGAUGCGGGUGGCACUGCAGGCCCUGCCACACUUCCUCUCCCAGUGCCAGCUGUCACCAGAAAAGAGAGCGUUCAUGUCUCAACUAUCAGAAACCUUCAACUCGCAUAAACCUCAGGGCUGCCAGGAGCAUUCACAAUCACCAAAUGUCACUUCGCACCCAAUGCAGGACACCCCCCCCCGCCAAGGCACCAUCCCCAUGCCCGGCAAGGCCUGCCCUGGGUGCACCAGAUGUUCCAUGUCUUCUGCUGGGGGGCACUUAGAAGUGCCUUCAAUGCUUUCUAUCCAAAAAUGCUUAGCUUGACCUCGUCAGAGGCUCUAUAGCCCCACUUUACAGGCAACACAGGGGACAGAAGGACGAACUAAACAAUGUCACAAAGAAGCAAUGGGACAAAUCCAGGAGGUGAGGUGUCACACAGUGUAAUUGGCCCAAAAUAAGGACAGUUAUGAAUUAAAGAGACUUACGGAACAUGACCACCUGUGAAAACGAAUGGCCAUGGAUUUGUUAUUGAUUUGCACAAAAUUACGGUAAAUAACACACAUUUUGAACAUAGACUAGGUAUUGAUGAGAAGAAAUUUAGUGAAAUAGAAAGGUAGAGAUCAUUGAAUAAAGAUAUGAAACAAUACA
rnacentral:lncRNA from 1 species